rnacentral:tRNA from 1 species
GUUCUUAUAGUUGAAGAACAACGGUGGCGUUUCGAGUCAUUGGUCUUGGUUAAAAUCCAGGUAGGAACU